rnacentral:lncRNA from 1 species
UCAACAAUAUUUACGUCUAUUAAUUUCAGGUUACGCUCAAAAGUUUACAUUAUGUGGAGAAAAAUUGGCAAUUGGUGGCAGAUGAUUUGCGGCCUCCAAAUCUUAUCAUCCAAAGAACAAUUUAACUUGUAGCACAUAAAAAGUUAAGAAAACUAAGCAUCAAUAGUUAUUAUAAAGGGGAAACCCAAUCUUCAGAUCUAGAUCUAGACGAGUUCUUCAGAUCCAGACGAGUUCUUUGCGAUGCGUAUGGCCUGCUUGAGUCCCAAAGCGAUGAGGCUGGAGAAUAGGAAGGAGCUGAAGGAGUACACGUGGAAGGCGAUGAGGUUCUCGUCGAUAUCGGCGCCGGUUCCGAAUUUGGUGAGGCGGCGUUCGUCCAUUUUUUUCGGCCGAUGAGAGAGAAUUGAUUUGAAGGGGGUUUUAUGCCGCAGAGGAUGAGCUGCCAAGGGUUACUACCAAGGGGAGAGAAGGAGGAAGAUCGUGGCUGAAGAUCUGGAAGAAGAAUCUGGAGAUAUGGAGAGAAGGAGGAGCAUUUUAAUUAU